CUUGUUCUGGAGAUCCCUCCUGUGGAAUUUUGCAGUGAGCCCAAGAUGCAUAAUCUAAAUUGUGCCUACAUUGACUGUUGGAACUCGUCUGUGAAUCUAAGAGCUCAUCUACUAUGCAAAGCUUGAGAAGAUUACAGGGAUUUUCUGGAUAAAAGGAUGCUGAGAGGUGACCUAAUUGCUCUCUGCAGUUCCCUGGGGAGGAGAAGCAAAGAGAGGUGCCAGGCUCUGCUCCUGGAAACUAAUGGCAGCAUGAGAAUGGCAAAACCCUGCUCCAAGGGAGGGUCAGACUGGACAUUAGGAAAUAUUUCUGUGCUGUGAUGGUGUCAAGCACCAAAACAAGUUUCUUAUAGAGGUGGAUGAUGCCUCAUGACUCUCAGAGUUCAAGAGACAUUUGGACAAUGCCCUCAAUAAUGUGCUUACCUAUUGGUUAGAUCUGAAGAGGUCAGGCAGUUGGACUUAUCUUUGCAGAUCCCUUCCAGUUGAGCUAUUCUUUUCUAUUUUAAAAGAUAGAACAUGCUGAACAGAAUUGAUUCAAUCUUAUAAGGCUGAGGUGCUAUAGGAAGCCUUCAGGAACCUACUUUUAAAAAUACGUUUUCAUAAUGUAAAAACUUAGGUGAUUUCUUGUCUAUGUCUUUCUCAACUGAAAGUUUUUAAUGAGCUGUGUAGAUCCAUCCUGACGACCCAAGUGAUUUUCUGUAUCAUAGAAGAUAUUUUCAUUUUAUUUGAAGGAUUCCUUAUUCUCAAAUAUAAAAAGUGCAUGUAAACAGUUCCUGGAAAUUUAUGCUCUAGCAAAACAAAUAGCAAAGCUCUAGAAUAAUCUUCCCUUUGCAAAACCUACUAACUUGUGAAAUGAAAGAAUAAGCCAUCAUAGAUGAAAAAAUUUUUAAAGUAAGAGACAAGAAAAUGAAAAGCAUGCUAAUUAUCAAAAACUCUAUAAUUUUACUUUAAGCACUUUGUAAUUAGUGCACACAUUUCUCAGAUAUCUGCUAUUUAUCUUGAAUUUUUUUUUGAAGCAGGCUUCUAAGCGUAUAAAAAAUUCAUUUUUAUUUAUACUUUUCUACUUAAUGUGUUAUAGCUACAGUUUUGCACAUAAUAACACACAAUGAAAACACAAAACAUGAAAAGUAGAUUUUUUUGUUUAUGAACGACUGUAAUUAUAGCAUAUUAAUGAGAUAUUUUAUGGUUACAUUUUGUGCUAGAAACAGAAUAAAAGAGGAGUACAAGCCCUGCAAUUUAGUUUUGUAACAAUUUAAUUAAAUGUCAUAUGAACACAGUAGAAUAUACUAUUGUUGGACCCAGUCAUUGCAGUAAGGUUGGUGGUAAAGUGGCUGGAAAUUUUUUAGAAUUAUUUGGAUGACUUUCAUUAGUUUAGUAAAUAAUUUAAGUUGGCUGAUGCAGCUUGGUAUUAUGUUUACUGUCCAGCCAUAAUUUUUGUCUAUAUGUUCUUUUUUUCCUCAGGAGUUUUGGAAAAUAAUAGAAAUGUUAUAAAUUGAAAUCAGAUGUUACUCUUUUUAAACCAAGCCUAAACUGAUGUCCCCCUUGCCUAAAGUCCCCUCUAUCAUCAAAGAAACAGUGGCUCUCCUCUUCUGGCCAUCCUCCCUCCUCAUCCAGUCACCCUCUGUGGGCUGUCGCACACCUGCCAAACCAGAUUCCUGCUGUCUCAUGAAACCUGCUUGGAUAACCUCUCCAACCCUUUUAGCCCUGACCUGCAUCAGUAUGGCAUUGCCCACAGAUUACAAGACCUGCAGCUAGGCCAAUGGCCCCAAAUCACCUUGUUGAGUAACUUCAUGAACCUCUGUUCUUUUGGUCCUGCAGUUAAUGUGCUGGUGCUUCGCUAUUGUCAAGUUGCUGGAACUAAGCUCACACUGUGAGAAUAAAUAUUCCCAGUGUGCUGAGCAGGCAGUGACACAGGAACUUGAAGAGCAUAGUGAGGCCUCUGAUACUCAGCUGCAGUCUUCUCUGGUUUUGACGCAUGUAGUUUGACAAUUAUAGCUCAGAAGAUUGCUAAACUACAUUGGCAGCCAUUGGCUCUAGAGUUCUCUACAUCUUUGAAUAAACCUGGUUUUAUUUCCAGCCUAUAAAACAUUUUUGUGGAAAGCAGUUUCACAACACGAAACUGUGUUGAACUAACCUGUAUACUAGCAUGCACAUAUCAUACUCCACACUAAUGAAGUCUAUCAGUAGUGUACCACUAUUAACAGAAAUGCUAUCAUCAUCACUGCUCUUGUCCCCACAAGUCAGUAAGCCUAAGACCAUUUUGAUGUUCAUUUCUUUGGCUGUGUUAGGAUUAGUUAGCUGAGUAACAAGGAAACUAUUAUUUGAAGGAAAACCUAUCAUUUUAUGUGCAAAUAUAAAAUUUUGAGUAAAUUUUUUUUUUUAAAAAAAGCUCUGAUGAAAUUUAACAGUUAUUUAAUUUUUUAACUAUUCAAUAGUGUUUCUUUAAGGACAGUGAAGAUGAAAGUUGUAACACAGACUUCUGCUUGUAGUAAAUUACAUAGUAAUACUUCUCAAUUUAUCAGUCAGAUGUCUUUAAAGACUUUCUGCUUCUACUUUUCUACAUGCAAUUCUGAUUGACAAAGCUGUAAGCCACACACAUUUUAUACUCACAGUACUUAUGAGAUAGACUACUUGGAGAAAUGGACUGAUAGUUUGGUCGUUUUUCUUGAAUACUUUUAGCUGCAGUAAUGUGACUCAAUGGUAACACUGCUUCUAAACCUCAUCUAACUUAACAAUGUAGUCUGACCACUGAGUAGCCCUUCAUUUCUUAUUUAGUCACAAGGGAAAGGAAAUAGACCACUUCAACUUUAAUAAGGCUUGAAUGAGAAUCUAGUAAUCAAUGCAGCAAAAAUUAAUAGAUAGAAGAUGCUUGCUAUCAAUGGUACGGACUAUUAAAAUUAUUUCUGCAUUGGCCUUUCUGUCUUAUAUUCAGGCUUGGCUUAUUUAACUUUGUUCUCAGUUAUUAAUACAAAGAUAAAUUUUAAUGGGUAACAUUUCUCAAUGCCUUUUUCAUUUUAACAGAAUUUAAGUCAGAGUUAGCAGAAUGCUUCAUCACACUAGAAAGAUUGUCAGUGGGGCUUAAGUUUCUCCAAGGUUUUUGAGAGCUGAAGAUUUUGGUAAGACUUCUAACAUUAUGGUUGUUUCUAUACUUCAUAUUACCUGUUUGAAUGAACAAGUGUAUUAGAUGAAUAAGAAAGCUUUAGGAGAAAGGUUUCUGUACUCUUUUGAAUAUUUUCUUUUUAAUUCUGCAGCACUACUUAUAAGAUUGGUUUUCUUUUUUCU